rnacentral:rRNA from 1 species
GGCGGACAUAGCGACAGGGAAACGCCCGGACCCAUCCCGAACCCGGAAGCUAAGCCUGCCAGCGCCGAUGAUACUA